rnacentral:tRNA from 1 species
GGACAUGGCUCAGUUGGUAGAGCAUCACCUUGCCAAGGUGAGGGUCGCGGGUUCGAGCCCCGUUGUCCG